rnacentral:rRNA from 2 species
AAACUUUCAACAACGGAUCUCUUGGUUCUGGCAUCGAUGAAGAACGCAGCGAAAUGCGAUAAGUAGUGUGAAUUGCAGAAUUCAGUGAAUCAUCGAAUCUUUGAACGCACAUUGCGCCCGCCAGUAUUCUGGCGGGCAUGCCUGUUCGAGCGUCAUU